rnacentral:rRNA from 1 species
CUGCCGGGAUGAGUUGUUUCGAGAAAGCGGAGACUGUUGUUUAGAGCGUUUUCGGACGAUCUUAACGGCGAAAACCGCCUUAAUCGAAACGGCUUGAACCGGGCAAAAGUCGUAACAAGGUUUCCGUAGGUGAACCUGCGGAAGGAUCAUUAU